UUAAGGCUUAGAAAUAAGAAUGUCACUACAACAGUGAUGUUGUCUACAUAUAGAGGUAGUGGGAAAGUAUAGGUCCUAUUUGUAGGGACAGACAGUGCCACUCUGCACGUUAAAGAACCCUUGUCACAACUUUUUUGAGGUGUCAGUAGGAUGUGGCUUGUUGCAUUAGGCUAAAUUUCUGUCCAAAAAUAUCCUCCUCGGUUGGCAGUCAAAAUUUCCCCCUCCUUUUCACCAUAGGAUUGGACCACUUUAUAGAACCUACAAAUUGAUUUGUUGUGAUAUCAAGAGAUGUGAGACAACUAUCCUACAGAGACCAAAUGAUGUUAAUGUAAAAUAGGUUACUGUAUGGGCUUCAACAAUGAGAAAAUCCACUAACAUUAAAAUUUUGCAAUAUUCUGAUUUAGAAUGACUUGUUUAUACCUCCAAACUUUAACAUCUGAUAUUUUUAUUAUCUAGAGCUUUGUAAAAAAAAA
rnacentral:lncRNA from 1 species